rnacentral:rRNA from 1 species
GACGAACGCUGGCGGCGUGCUUAACACAUGCAAGUCGAACGGCAACACCCUGCUUUUGUGGGGUGCUCGAGUGGCGAACGGGUGAGUAAUACAUGAGUAACCUGCCCUUGACUUGGGGAUACCUUGAGAAAACUGGGGCUAAUCCCCGAUAGGAGCUCGUGCUGCAUGGUGGGGGUUGGGAAGUUUCGGCGGUUGGGGAUGGACUCGGGGGUUAUCAGCUUGUUGGGGGGGUAGUGGCUUCCCAAGGCUGUGACGGGUAGCCGGCCUGAGAGGGGGACCGGGCACAAUGGGCCUGAGAGACGGCCCAGAGUGCAACGUGAGGCAGUAGGGGGAAAUAUUGCACAGUGGGCGGAAGCGUGAGGAAGCGGCGCUGCGUUCGUGAAGCCGGCCUGCCGGGUGUAAACCGCUUGCGCCUGUGACGAAGCGUGAGUGACGGUAACGGGUAAAUAAGCACCGGCUAACUACGUG